UACGUAGGGUGCGAGCGGUAAUCGGAAUUACUGGGCGUAAAGCGGGGGCAGGCGGCUUUGCAAGACAGAUGUGAAAUCCCCGGGCUCAACCUGGGAACUGCAUUUGUGACUGCAAGGCUAGAGUACGGCAGAGGGGGAUGGAAUUCCGCGUGUAGCAGUGAAAUGCGUAGAUAUGCGGAGGAACACCAAUGGCGAAGGCAAUCCCCUGGGCCUGUACUGACGCUCAUGCACGAAAGCGUGGGGAGCAAACAGG
rnacentral:rRNA from 1 species